AAAAAUAAGAGCAAACGAGUAAUUUUAAUAGCAAACGGGUAAUGUUAAUAUACAUUGACAAUUGUGCUUAGUAAAAUAUAUCGGUAAGGAUUAGAUCGAUGAUUUGACUAUAUAUUAGCUGGUCCCCCCCUAAAAGAAACCAUGGCUCCGCCUCUGCUCCUUCUAUACAUGGUAUCCUCUUGGGCUCCAUACCUAGUACUUCUAAAGUGAUGAUCAUGAUCUUAGGAGGCAUGAUCUUAAUUUUUUUCAUAUGAAAAAUUGUUCAAUCCUCCCACUGUAGAAGAAUGUACAUAUUCAUUGAGAUAUACUAGGGGGAAUUACUCAUCUCUCGAAUAUUUGUUGGAACGUGAUUUUUCUUUAUGUGUAUUUUUUUUACUAGAUAUAUCUUUAAUAUAUUGAAGAUAUAUCAUAAAUAUCCUAAAUAUCGGAAAUAUUUCAUAUAUAUCGGAGAAAUAUCGGAGAUAUUUGACGGUAUUUGUCACACCCCAAAUUUUAGAUGAAUAAAAAUUCCAAUUUCAAGGCAUGAUAAUUUAAAAGAAAAACAAACUUUACAACAUUUUAGUUUUACAACUUGUGAAAGAAUAAUUUGAACAAGAUAAAACCUCCCUCAAUACUCACAAAAAACUAGAAAGUAAACACAAGGAACAAGCCUAACUGUCGCAGCCUCAACUCUGCUAAUCCUGACCUGCAAAAACAACCUCUACACCAAGGAUUGGUGCACCGGGUUGUAAACAACAAACCCGAGUAGUUUUAAAAGCUCGUAUGAGUAAAACUCUAACAACAGACUCAACCCAACAACACAUAAGGUAAACACCAAGAGUUCAUACCUUAAAAAUAAAUUCAGGAAAACACUUACAAGCAAGAGAAAUCAAAAAAAGAAAUUAAGAAAACACAACAAUUCACAAUCAUUCAAAAUCAUAAAUGAAAUCCUGCAAAAAGUAUAGUUCAGGAAUUCCAUUAAAAUCACACAAUUAAAAUUAGAGAAUCUCCUGCGGACAAGCAUAGUUCAAGAAAUACUCGAAACAAAGAAAUUAAAUGACAUCAUAUAAAAAAUCACACAAUCAUUUCUCUACUCUUACUUAUGGGUUCGUCAACGCAAAGUCAUCCCCCAUAAGUAACUAGACAAACACGUACUCAUGGGUUCGUCAACACAUACUCAUCCCCUAUGAAGUACCGACAGACUAGAGCUCUAUACUGACCAUAACCAAUCACCCGGUCAAGGCUUGGUUCCUGGUCCACCACGAAAGCUCCUAAUCUAAUGCACACAAUCACCACUAAGGCACACAUAUUUCAACAUCAUGAUAUCACAUAAUCAUGACGUGCCUUUCACACAUAUACACGUGAAUAUAAAUAUUUAAAACAUGAAUAAUCUACCAACUCAAAUUAUGACUCACUUUUGAAAGAUUAUUAUUAACAAAAAACUUGUUUUCACUUACCAUGAGCCGUUGACGAUCAAGCUCAUUUAUACUUAAAAACAAAAUCAUUUUCCUUCAAGGACAACUUCACAAUUAGCUAUAAUAAACUAUAAAGUAAACUCGGUUCUUUUACGAACCCAUGUGAGAUUUACUCACAAUAUAAUAAUAUCAUCAUCACCAAAAUCAUUAUCAUCAACAUCAUCGUCAUAAUAAUUAUCAUAAUCAUCAUCAAAAUCACCAUCAUAAUCAUCAUUAAACUCAACAUCACAAUCAUCAUCAUAAUCAUCAUCAAAAUAAAUAGGUCACAAAUUGGACCUUGGUGAGAUUUUACUCACCUUUAGGCCAUCUCCAGCAGGAGAGGGUUAUAUUGGGGCCAGGGCUAUAAUUUAGCUCUCAAAAAUAUUAUUUUUUAUUUAUAGACUUCAAAAUGAUCUCUAAUAAGAGAGGGCCAAAUUUGAGCUCUUUUGAAUAUUUUAUGAUUUCACUUUAUACUUUUUAAUAUUUUUCACUUUAAAUACAAAUAUAUUGUCACACUGUAGCACAUACGAGUAGGUAUCAUAUAAUUUUUCACUUAUAGAUUUAUUUUAUUAUAACAUUAUUUGAAUUUGGACCAAAUUACUAAUAUUUAAAUUAACUAUUAUAUUAAUAAAAUAAGAUAGUAGCCAUAUGAAUUUUGGAUUGAGAGAAUUUACCGGUUGUAAUGAGAUGAGAAUGAAAUAAUCCAAUAGAAAGUUGACAAUUGUUAUAAUUUGAGUAUUCAUCAAUCAACCAACAUGCAUACUUUUAGUUUUUUUAAUUUCAUUUGGGACCACAAUUUGGUUUGGCCUGGGCUAGCCAAAGGGCUAUGUUUGGCCCUUUUGAUGGCCCUUUGGCCCUCUUUUGAGUUCUUAUUGGAGAUCAAAAUAAGGCCAAAAUUUAGGAUUUGGCUCUAUAACCUCUAUCACUGGAGAUGGCCUUACUCCCGCUGCGUUUUCACACAAACACGAGCGUCUAGCUCAAAACUAAACUCCACAAGUCACCCUAUUAACAAAAAAGUUAACCUUAGUAACUGACAAAUACGACUUUUACACUUGUUUUCAUAAGCUCAACAUGACAACCAACAACACUAACACUUUCAAACGUGCCGCCACGGGCAGCGGCGUGUGGGCCCCACGCGCCCCCUAAGAACUUCACAAAACCCUAACAUGCUCAAACAACUCUGAAAACUACACUCAACAUGCUCACGUGCUUGUAUCGACGAGCACAACCUAACAAAGACUACUGACCUCCCAAUCCCCUCCCGGACGCACCGCCACGCGCCACAACCGACGGCAGCUAGUGGGCCCCAUGCACCACCCCAAAACUUCAGAAUUUAGGCAAACUCAAAACAUGAAACUUGUAGAUUGAAACAUGGUGAACAACUUUAAUACCUGAGGUUUUAACCAAUUCGGCCGGAAAACACCCCAAAACUCCAACACGGCCUCAAGCUUCAAUAUGCAAUUUUGGCGCUCAAAACCUCAAUAUCUUGCUUCAAACUAUGCCUAGCCACAACCAGAAGGAAGAGAGGAUCAAAACUCACCUAAGGUUGCUCCUCAUCGCCGCCGCAAACGGCGGCUCCGAUCAACGGCACGGCGGCAGUGGCUUUCGGGCUAGGCUGCGCCUUAUACGCCGGUCACCAGCGUCAAAGACCAACACGGUUGGGUAGGUGAGGACGAGACCAAUCGAAUGGAAUCGGUAGCGGCCAAAACGAUGGCCGGACGACCGACCUCUGCUCCGACGAAAUGCAGCAGCUCCUCCACCUCGUGACGGCGUCAGGCGGAGCGACGGCGAGCAACAGUGGUCCAUGAAUGGAGAGGACACCCGUGCGAACCGAACGGGACCGGCGACGUCUAGUUUGGUGGCCGGACGGCCGAGUUCUAUGUCGGCGAAGGUCCAGCUUUGAGUGCAGCUGGGGGAGAGAGGAGAGAGAAAAUGGAGGCUUUUCUGAAUUCUAGGGUUCCCUCUUUCUAUUUAUACACUUUCCAUACCCGGAAACUAACUUCCUCUGACCAUAAAUUUCUCAUACGAAGUCCGUUUUACGCGUGCCACGUGUCUACGAACUCGUAUCGUCGUGCUCUACAACUUUCAUGAAGGAAGUUUCUCGAGAAACCCAACGAAUAAAAAGUCAACUCUAUGACCCUUAAAGAAUAAAGAAUCGUUUCGGUAAUUUAUGCGUCUGAACACUUCCGCCCUUUCUUCGAACCUAAAAAACACACUAACUUCUAACUCAAAAAUUUCCAAAUAAUAUUAGAAACUAAUAUCAAAU
rnacentral:lncRNA from 1 species